rnacentral:miRNA from 1 species
AUUUUUCCAGAAAACUUUCCU